UGGGGAAUUUUACGCAAUGGGCGAAAGCCUGACGUAGCGACACCGCGUGAGCGAAGAAGCCCCUUGGGGUGUAAAGCUCUGUCAGCUGGAACGAAAAAAUGACGGUACCAGCAGAGGAAGCAUCGGCUAACUACGUGCCAGCAGCCGCGGUAAGACGUAGGAUGCAAGCGUUGUCCGGAUUUAUUGGGCGUAAAGAGUUCGUAGGUGGUUUGUUAAGUUUGGUGUUAAAGAUUGGGGCUCAACCCUGAAA
rnacentral:rRNA from 1 species